GACAGAGGGUGCAAACGUUGUUCGGAAUUACUGGGCGUAAAGCGUGCGCAGGCGGUGAUGUAAGACAGAUGUGAAAGCCCCGGGCUCAACCUGGGAAUUGCAUUUGAGACUGCGUAGCUAGGGUGCGGAAGAGGGAAGCGGAAUUUCCGGUGUAGCGGUGAAAUGCGUAGAUAUCGGAAGGAACACCAGUGGCGAAAGCGGCUUCCUGGUCCAGCACCGACGUUCAGGCACGAAAGCGUGGGGAGCAAACAGG
rnacentral:rRNA from 1 species